rnacentral:snoRNA from 1 species
AAUCUGUGGUGUGGGCAUUUCUAAAUCAGCGUCUUAAAAAACUCCCUUGCUUCAUGAAAACUUCCCCCUCUAAUUAUUUGAACGUAGAAAUUUCCCUUCUUAGUUU